UGUGUGGCUUAAAGGUAGAGCACAUGCUUUGCAUGCCUGGGCCCUGAGUUCCAUUCCCAGCACA
rnacentral:tRNA from 1 species